GUUUUAAUAGUUUAAAUAAAACACUGAUCUUGUAAAUCAGAAAUAUGUAACAACUUUUAAAACU
rnacentral:tRNA from 1 species